rnacentral:rRNA from 1 species
GACGAACGCUGGCGGCGUGCUUAACACAUGCAAGUCGAACGGAAAGGCCCUGCUUGCGGGGUACUCGAGUGGCGAACGGGUGAGUAACACGUGGGUGAUCUGCCCUGCACUUCGGGAUAAGCUUGGGAAACUGGGUCUAAUACCGGAUAGGAGCCAUCUUUAGUGUGGUGGUUGGAAAGUUUUUUCGGUGUAGGAUGAGCUCGCGGCCUAUCAGCUUGUUGGUGGGGUAAUGGCCUACCAAGGCGGCGACGGGUAGCCGGCCUGAGAGGGUGUACGGCCACAUUGGGACUGAGAUACGGCCCAGACUCCUACGGGAGGCAGCAGUGGGGAAUAUUGAACAAUGGGCGCAAGCCUGAUGCAGCGACGCCGCGUGGGGGAUGAAGGCCUUCGGGUUGUAAACUCCUUUCGCUAGGGACGAAGCUUUUUUGUGACGGUACCUAGAUAAGAAGCACCGGCUAACUACGU